rnacentral:rRNA from 1 species
GAUGAACGCUGGCGGCGUGCCUAAUACAUGCAAGUCGAGCGAACAGACGAGGAGCUUGCUCCUCUGACGUUAGCGGCGGACGGGUGAGUAACACGUGGAUAACCUACCUAUAAGACUGGGAUAACUUCGGGAAACCGGAGCUAAUACCGGAUAAUAUAUUGAACCGCAUGGUUCAAUAGUGAAAGACGGUUUUGCUGUCACUUAUAGAUGGAUCCGCGCCGCAUUAGCUAGUUGGUAAGGUAACGGCUUACCAAGGCAACGAUGCGAAGCCGACCUGAGAGGGUGAUCGGCCACCCUGUAACUGAGACACGGUACAGACUCCUACGGGAGGCAGCAGUAGGGAAUCUUCCGCAAAGGGCGAAAGCCUGACGGAGCAACGCCGCGUGAGUGAUGAAGGUCUUCGGAUCGUAAAACUCUGUUAUUAGGGAAGAACAAAUGUGUAAGUAACUAUGCACGUCUUGACGGUACCUAAUCAGAAAGCCACGGCUAACUACGUG